UACGAAGGGGGGCUAGCGUUGUUCGGAAUACUGGGCGUAAAGCGUAUGCAGGCGGACUUUUAAGUCGGGGGUGAAAUCCCGGGGCUCAACCCCGGAACUGCCUUUGAUACUGGGUAUCUCGAGUCCGGAAGAGGUGAGUGGAAUUCCGAGUGUAGAGGUGAAAUUCGUAGAUAUGGGGAGGAACACCGGUGGCGAAGGCGGCCAACCUGGACGG
rnacentral:rRNA from 1 species